UACAAUUUGCUUCACACAUUACUCGAUUUUUUUUUCGCUUCACAUUCCACGAAAUAAAACCAAAUCAAAAUUGUUUUUUUUUUUCUUCAAAUUCCACGAAAUCAACCAACUCAAAUUUGGUUUUCAAUCUUUUCGUUUGCCGCGUUAAUUUUGUUUUUCAUCUUCCUCGAACAUGUUCCAUUACUUCCUUUCAAUCGAAAUCGAAGUUUCUUCAGAAUUUGUCGUUGGAAGCCGUUUUGCUCAUCCCUCUCUUAUUUCGGCUACAACCAAACAGCUAGCUAUAAAAGAGAGAAAUAGAGAUGUAAAAAGCUUCAAGUUGUUGGUGCUUGAUGAACUUUUGAUGAUAUGGAUAUUUGAAGUUGUGAACAUUAUGAUGUAAACUAUUGUUAUUAAUUGAUGAUAGUCUUUUUUUUCUUUGAA